rnacentral:ncRNA from 1 species
UAGCGGUGUUGACGUGCAAAUCACUCGUCUGACUUGAGUGUAGGGGCGAAAGACUAAUCGAACCAUCUAGUUGCUGGUUCCUUCCGAAGUUUCCCUCAGGAUAGCUGGCAUUUGUUUGUAACAAUUUUAUCCGGUAGAGCGAAUGAUUAGAGGUGUUGGGAACGCAAUGUUCUCAGCCUAUUCUCAAACUUCGAAUGGGUAAGCAAGGCGUUUUGCUUUGAUUUUACGAUGAAAUCGCCCAAUUAGAAUGUAUAAAUGCCUAGUGGGCCAAUUUUGGUAAGCAGAACUGGCGAUGUGGAAUGAACCAAAAGUCAGGUUAAGGUGCCAGACAUUGGCGCUCAUGAAAUACCAGAAAAGGUGUUGGUCGAUAUAGACAGCAGGACGGUGGCCAUGGAAGUUGGAAUCCGCCAAGGAGUGUGUAACAACUCACCUGCCGAAUCGACUAGCCCUGAAAAUGGAUAGCGUUUGAGCUCCAGGCCCAUACCUGACCGUCUCAAUUACGCACUUUUUUUUCGGAAAAGGUGUAAUGAACGUUGAGACGGGUAGGAAGGUCGCGACAGUGUUGCUUUGAAGAGUUUUGAGCGUGAGCUCGAUCGGCGCCACUUAUUGUUA